rnacentral:rRNA from 1 species
UACGUAGGGGGCAAGCGUUAUCCGGAUUUACUGGGUGUAAAGGGAGCGUAGACGGCAGCACAAGUCUGGAGUGAAAUCCCAUGGCUUAACCAUGGAACUGCUUUGGAAACUGUGCAGCUUGAGUGCAGAAGAGGACAGUGGAACUCCAUGUGUAGCGGUGGAAUGCGUAGAUAUAUGGAAGAACACCAGUGGCGAAGGCGGCUGUCUGGUCUGCAACUGACGCUGAGGCUCGAAAGCAUGGGUAGCGAACAGG